rnacentral:rRNA from 1 species
UACGUGAGGGGCAAGCGUUGUCCGGAAUCAUUGGGCGUAAAGAGCGUGUAGGCGGCCCGAUAAGUCCGCUGUCGAAAGUCCAGGGCUCAACCCUGGAAUGCCGGUGGAUACUGUCGGGCUCGAAUCCGGAAGAGGUGAGUGGAAUUCCUGGUGUAGCGGUGAAAUGCGCAGAUAUCAGGAAGAACACCCGUGGCGAAGGCGGCCCACUGGGCCGGUGCUGACGCUGGAGGCGCGAAGGCGUGGGGAGCGAACGGG